UGCCAGCAGCCGCGGUAAUACGAAGGGGGCUAGCGUUGUUCGGAAUCACUGGGCGUAAAGCGUAUGUAGGCGGAUCAAAAAGUUAGAUGUGAGAUCCCUGGGCUCAACCCAGGAACUGCAUUUAAAACUAGUGAUCUAGAAUUUGGUAGGGGCCAGUAGAAUUUCCAGUGUAGAGGUGAAAUUCGUAGAUAUUGGAAAGAAUACCAGUGGCGAAGGCGACUGGCUGGGCCAUUUUUGAAGCUGAGGUACGAAAGCGUGGGUAGCAAACAGGAUUAGAUA
rnacentral:rRNA from 1 species